GACCUGUUCCAAGUGACCAAACACUGAUGAUCAAUAUUAUUUCACUUCAUGGCCAUCAUGAGGUAACCACAAUGCAUUAUGGACAACUCUGUCAAAAAACCAAUACAUAUUCUGAGCAUUUUGAAACAAUCACAGACCAUUCUAAAACAGAUUCAGAGCAUGUGUCUGUAGCAAUACAUUCCAUGUAAGGUGGCUGGAUGGCCACAUGGUGACAUGUUGGAGUGCCACACAGAAGGAUCUGGGUCUUGUGCUCCUGAAAAGUUUUUGGAGUUCUGGGCCCAGUCUGGUGAUCCCUGUCCUUUACCAUGUGGUCCCCCAUCACAGGAAUGAGUGCAACUCAUGGUUGGAACCGGCUCUGCUUCUUAGUAAUUAUAUGAUUGGAAAGGAAUGUAAAAUAAUAAAAAAAAGUGUGCUCCAUGUUAGUAAUAGUAGAAUUCCACUACUGGCAACUGAAUUUUGACCAUUUAGCAGUAUGUCUGCAAUGGCAACUAAUUCGUGAUAAAGGAGUGACAUUUUGGACAUUUGGUCAUGGGACUUCAAUUAUAUGUAUUUUAAUACUUUCAUUUUUAAAUCAUAA
rnacentral:lncRNA from 1 species